ensembl:lncRNA
GAACCUCUGAAAGUUUAUAAAUCAAUGCAGAGUUAAGGGGCAACAAAUAGCGUUCUUCUACCAGUGAGACAUACUAAGUGCUGCACACACUUAACCGUGAACCAGGCACUGGACCUCGUGGUGGGAAUGGAAUGACUCACUCAUUCAAUAGCACCUUUUAAAUUGUUCACUGUGGCCGGCUGCUAAAUUAGGCGCUAAGAUUACAGUUGUCAUCUAGGUAUAUAACAUGCUGGAGAUGCUGGACAUGAUAAUUUGGAUUUUUGCUUCAGCAGAUACUUGCCCCUUCCCUCUUCUACUGUUGGUAAGGUUUACUUUUCUACCCAUUUAUAUUGUUCUUGGUCAUAUGGAUUCAUUUGAUUGAUAGGAUAUCAGCAGACAUGACAUAUGCAGGAGUCUUAAGUGUGCUUGCAUAGUUUGAUUUGGCUCCUGAGUGUAGGUGAUGCACACGAGGAGAUUGAAGUCUCUUGCUGCUGUUACCCCUUCAUUCUGGGCACUCAGAACAAGCACUUAUGGAGCAGAUGUGAAUUCAACCUGUAGGCCAAACCCAUCUUAAUUAUCAUAACCAUAGACAUCCCACAUGCUUUUGAACUGUGGUGUUGGAGAAGACUCUUUAGAGUCCCUUGGACUGCAAGGAGAUCAAACCAGUCCAUCCGAAAGGAAAUCAAUCCUGAAUAUUCAUUGGAAAGACUGAUGCUAAAGCUGAAACUGCAAAACUUUGACCUCCUGACGCGAAGAACUGACUCAUCGGAAGAGACCCUGAUGCUGGGAAAGACUGAAGGCAGGAGGAGAAGGGGGUAACAGAGGAUGAGAUGGUUGGAUGGCAUCACUGACUGGAUGGAUGUGAGUUUGAACAAGCUCUGGGAGUUGGUGAUAGACAGGGAGGUGCUGCAGUCCAUGGAGUCACAAAGAGUUGGACACAACUGAGUGACUGAACUGAACUAGACAGCCCAAGCUUUCCAGGUAGCACAGUAGUAAAGAAUCUGCCUGCCAGUGCAGGAGAUGCAGGAGAUAUGGGUUCAAUCCCUGGGUUGGUGAGGAAGGUACCCUGGAGGAGAAAAUGGCAACCCACUCCAGUAUUCUUGCCUGGGAAAUCCCAUGGACAGAGGAUCCUUGUGGACUACAGUCCAUGGGGUCACGAAGAGUUGGACACAGCUGAGCACACACACAAAAGACAUCAAAGAUUGGUGAGUAUGAGAAUUAAUGCUGUUGUCCUAAGUCACUGAGUUUGGGGUAGUCUGUUAUAUAGUGUUACUGUGGCAAUAAAGAAGGCUUAUGGUCAACUUUAAUCAAGUCAAACUUUUGGCAAAUUGGUUUUACAAAGUUACAUUUCCACAAGAAAUGUAUGAGAAUUCUAGUUUCUCUACAUCUUGG